rnacentral:misc_RNA from 1 species
UACGAACCGUCCAAACGUUAUUCGGAUUCAUUGGGCUUAAAGGGUACGUAGGCGGCGCUUCAAGUCGGGUGUGAAAUCCCUCGGCUCAACCGAGGAAUUGCGCCCAAAACUGUCGUGCUCGAGGGAGACAGAGGUAAGCGGAACUGAUGGUGGAGCGGUGAAAUGCGUUGAUAUCAUCAGGAACACCAGUGGCGAAAGCGGCUCACUGGGUCUCUUCUGACGCUGAGGCACGAAAGCUAGGGGAGCAAACGGG